rnacentral:rRNA from 1 species
GAUGAACGCUGGCGGUAUGCUUAACACAUGCAAGUCGAACGGACUCUUCGGAGUUAGUGGCGGACGGGUGAGUAACGCGUGAGAAUCUGGCUUUGGGUUCGGGACAACCACUGGAAACGGUGGCUAAUACCGGAUGUGCCGAGAGGUAAAAGAGAAAUUGCCUGAAGAUGAGCUCGCGUCUGAUUAGCUAGUUGGUGAGGUAAAGGCUCACCAAGGCAGCGAUCAGUAGCUGGUCUGAGAGGAUGACCAGCCACACUGGGACUGAGACACGGCCCAGACUCCUACGGGAGGCAGCAGUGGGGAAUUUUCCGCAAUGGGCGAAAGCCUGACGGAGCAAUACCGCGUGAGGGAAGAAGGCUCUUGGGUUAUAAACCUCUUUUCUUAGGGAAGAACAAAAUGACGGUACCUAAGGAAUCAGCAUCGGCUAACUCCGUG